UACGUAGGGGGCUAGCGUUGUCCGGAAUCAUUGGGCGUAAAGAGCGCGUAGCCGGCCAGAUAAGUCCGGUGUGAAAGUCAAAGGCUCAACCUUUGAAGGCCGCUGGAAACUGUCUGGCUAGAGUCCGGAAGGGGCGAGUGGAAUUCCUGGUGUAGCGGUGAAAUGCGCAGAUAUCAGGAGGAACACCAAUGGCGAAGGCAGCUCGCUGGAACGGUACUGACGCUGUGGCGCGAAAGCGUGGGGAGCGAACAGG
rnacentral:rRNA from 1 species